CCGCUGACGCCCGGGCCCAAGGUCAUCGACUGAUUCGAUGCCUUAUCUUGACAAUCACCGUACGAAUCGGUGAGUCCACUUGAGCCGCUGCCUUCACAUGCAUUGACUGAUUCGACGCUCUACUUAUACACCCACCCUAUGAAUCAGUGUGGCUAUAAAACUUCUUUAAAUCCACCCAAGCCAAUCCUGAGCCAAGCCGAUCACCGACUGAUUCAGUGGUGAUCCGCUAUGUCCACCGAAUGAGUCGGUGGUCACAGUAAUCGCUGCCUUGGCCCUGCUACUGCCUAU
rnacentral:lncRNA from 1 species